rnacentral:rRNA from 1 species
GUAGUCCACGCCGUAAACGAUGGAUACUAGCUGUUGGGGGCAACUUCAGUGGCUAAGCGAAAGUGAUAAGUAUCCCACCUGGGGAGUACGAACGCAAGUUUGAAACUCAAAGGAAUUGACGGGGGCCCGCACAAGCGGUGGAGCAUGUGGUUUAAUUCGAUGAUACGCGAGGAACCUUACCAAGGCUUAAAUGCAGACUGACCGAUUUGGAAACAGAUCUUUCGCAAGACAGUUUACAAGGUGCUGCAUGGUUGUCGUCAGCUCGUGCCGUGAGGUGUCAGGUUAAGUCCUAUAACGAGCGCAACCCCUGUUGUUAGUUGCCAGCGAGUAGUGUCGGGAACUCUAACAAGACUGCCAGUGCAAACUGUGA